UACAGAGGUGGCAAGCGUUGUUCGGAAUUACUGGGCGUAAAGGGCGAGUAGGUGGCCAUCUAAGUCAGACGUGAAAUCCCCCGGCUUAACCUGGGAACUGCGUCUGAUACUGGACGGCUUGAGUAUGGGAGAGGAACGUAGAAUUCCAGGUGUAGCGGUGAAAUGCGUAGAUAUCUGGAGGAAUACCGGUGGCGAAGGCGGCCUGCUGGGCUGUGGCUGACGCUGAGGCGCGACAGCGUGGGGAGCAAACAGG
rnacentral:rRNA from 1 species